GACGAACGCUGGCGGCGUGCUUAACACAUGCAAGUCGAACGGAAAGGCCCUGCUUUUGUGGGGUGCUCGAGUGGCGAACGGGUGAGUAACACGUGAGUAACCUGCCCUUGACUUUGGGAUAACUUCAGGAAACUGGGGCUAAUACCGGAUAGGAGCUCCUGCUGCAUGGUGGGGGUUGGAAAGUUUCGGCGGUUGGGGAUGGACUCGCGGCUUAUCAGCUUGUUGGUGGGGUAGUGGCUUACCAAGGCUUUGACGGGUAGCCGGCCUGAGAGGGUGACCGGCCACAUUGGGUCUGAGAGACGGCCCAGACUCCUACGGGAGGCAGCAGUGGGGAAUAUUGCACAAUGGGCGGAAGCCUGAUGCAGCAACGCCGCGUGCGGGAUGACGGCCUUCGGGUUGUAAACCGCUUUCGCCUGUGACGAAGCGUGAGUGACGGUAAUGGGUAAAGAAGCACCGGCUAACUACGUG
rnacentral:rRNA from 1 species